rnacentral:rRNA from 1 species
UACGUAGGCAGCGAGCGUUGUUCGGAGUUACUGGGCGUAAAGAGUGCGUAGGCGGUGCUCCAGGUCUGGUGUGAAAUCUCCCGGCUUAACCGGGAGGGUGCGCCGGAAACUGGGGUGCUGGAGUGUGGGAGAGGUAAGCGGAAUUCUCGGUGUAGCGGUGAAAUGCGUAGAUAUCGAGAGGAACACCUGCGGCGAAGGCGGGUAGCUGGGCCGACACUGACGCUGAGGCGCGAAAGCCAGGGGAGCGAACGGG